rnacentral:misc_RNA from 1 species
AACGGUCUAUACCUGCGGUACCUGCGGAGGGAUCAUUAGUGAACGCCCUCACGGGCUUAUAACUAUUCCAAACCUCUGUGAACCGUGCCCUUCGGGGCUAUUUUACAAACAUGGUGUAAUGAACGUCAUAUAUCAUAACAAAACAAAACUUUCAGCAACGGAUCUCU